UCCGUAGGUGAACCUGCGGAAGGAUCAUUACCGAGUGCGGGUCCUUUGGGCCCAACCUCCCAUCCGUGUCUAUUAUACCCUGUUGCUUCGGCGGGCCCGCCGCUUGUCGGCCGCCGGGGGGGCGCCUUUGCCCCCCGGUCCCGUGCCCGCCGGACACCCCAACACGAACACUGUCUGAAAGCGUGCAGUCUGAGUUGAUUGAAUGCAAUCAGUUAAAACUUUCAACAAUGGAUCUCUUGGUUCCGGCAUCGAUGAAAAACGCAGCGAAAUGCGAUAACUAAUGUGAAUUGCAGAAUUCAUGGAAUCAUCGAGUCUUUGAACGCACAUUGCGCCCCCUGGUAUUCCGGGGGGCAUGCCUGUCCGAGCGUCAUUGCUGCCCUCAAGCCCGGCUUGUGUGUUGGGUCGCCGACCCCCUCUCCGGGGAGACGGGCCCGAAAGGCAGCGCCGGCACCGCGUCCGAUCCUCGAGCGUAUGGGGCUUUGUCACAUGCUCUGUAGGAUUGGCCGGCGCCUGCCGACGUUUUCCAACCAUUUUUUCCAGGUUGACCUCGGAUCAGGUAGGGAUACCCGCUGAACUUAAGCAUAUCAAUAAGCGGAGGA
rnacentral:rRNA from 1 species